UCUCACACCACUGUCCACUUCUGGGAAACUGAUUCCUAGAGCCAAAACUCAGGCCAGUAAUCCGGUUAAACUGCAGGUUUGACAAGACAAAGCAGCCAGUGGUACUACACUAGUGCAUAAAACAAAGCUAGAACAGCCGCCACUGAGACCAAGAGGAGCUGAACACCCUUGAAUAGCUGGCUCUAUUGCUCAAAAAAUAACCUGGUCAGAGUCAGACCCCAUGGACCUCAUCUGUAGAGGUAUAUUGACAUCAUCAUCAAGAUCCUCUCUGCUGCAACAUGCUUUGAUACUAAGGCUGCCCUGGUGACAUGAGCCCCUCCCCGUUCAAAGCACCAUUUCUGACAGCCUUUGUGCUGAUCUGCUCCGGGACACAAAGCAAACCAUUAAUGUGGAAUGAUCAUGCUGUUGGACACAGAGGCAGAGGCAGAGGAUCUUUGAACAAGCUGCAAGGAAUGUUGCUGGAGAUAUUCAAGGUGAGACUUGAAAAACCCAUUGAUCAUGGAUAGUUUCGGAAGCAUGAAAUCAAUUCCACCAUGAUUCAAGAAAAUGGAUAGGUGAACUAAGUGACCCAUGAGAAGAUGGUCUCUUCAAAUCUAUGUCACCAAUCAUACUGUUUGUUUAACUUUUAUUCUUUCACUCAGUUUGCACAAUAAAACUAGACUGGUCAGUUUCAUGUUUGUUUCAAGUUUGUUUCUCCCUCUGUUUCUCCUGUAUUGUUGUUCUUGGAUUUAGAAGACUGGAGAGAAAUGUUUUAAUUAUAACAAAACAGCUGUUUGUUUAUGCAAUGUUUUCAUCAACUUUUAAGAACAAUAAUGAAGCAUGUCUCUCUCCACUUAAAAAUGUCUGUCCGUCUUUUUCUUUAUAUGGCCUUCAUAACCAUAAUAUUUACAUUUUGAACCUCUUUGUAAUUAACAGAAUUUCUUGUGCUUGGAUUUCCUAACUAAUGUAUUGGUUCAAAACAAGGGGGAAAACAGGCUUUAAAACAAUACCAAGAUGCUGAUG